AUCUUAGCGGCGGACGGGUGCGUAACACGUGGGUAACCUGCCCCUAUCACUGGGAGUAACACACUGAAAAGUGUGCUAAUACCAGAUAAUAUAAGCUUUUUGGCAUCAUUAGCUUAUCAAAGAAUUUCGGAUAGGGAUGGGCCCGCGUCUGAUUAGCUUGUUGGUGAGGUAACGGCUCACCAAGGCAACGAUCAGUAGCCGACCUGAGAGGGUGAUCGGCCACACUGGAACUGAGACACGGUCCAGACUCCUACGGGAGGCAGCAGUGGGGAAUAUUGCACAAUGGGCGAAAGCCUGAUGCCAGCAACGCCGCGUGAGCGAUGAAGGCCUUCGGGUCGUAAAGCUCUGUCCUAUGGGAAGAUAAUGACGGUACCAUAGGAGGAAGCCCCGGCUAACUACGUGCCAGCCGCCGC
rnacentral:rRNA from 1 species